rnacentral:rRNA from 1 species
UGGGGAAUAUUGGGCAAUGCCCGCAAGGGUGACCUAGCAACGCCGCGUGAAGGAUGAAGGCCGUAAGGUUGUAAACUUCUGUUAGAGGGGACGAAUGGUUUCGGUAGCACCGAAAUUUGACUGUACCCUCAGAGAAAGCCCCGGCUAACUACGUG